UGGGGAAUCUUGCGCAAUGGGCGAAAGCCUGACGCAGCGACGCCGCGUGUGGGAUGAAGGUCUUCGGAUUGUAAACCACUGUCGGGAGGGACGAAGCUCUGACGGUACCUCCAAAGGAAGCACCGGCUAACUCUGUGCCAGCAGCCGCGGUAAUACAGAAGGUGCAAGCGUUACUCGGAAUUACUGGGCGUAAAGCGUCUGUAGGUGUCUUUCCACGUCUGGCAUUAAAUCAUGGAGCUCAACUCCAUAACUAUGUUGGAAACGAGAAAGAUUGAGUCACUCAGAGGCAUCUGGAAUGUCGUGUGUAGGGGUAAAAUCCGUAGAUACACGAUGGAACGCCAAAAGCGAAGGCAGGAUGCUAGGGGUGUACUGACACUCAGAGACGAAAGCGUGGGGAGCAAAGGGGAUUAGAUACCCCGUAGUCCCUGAGCGGGCUGGCAAGGCGCAU
rnacentral:rRNA from 1 species